ensembl:snRNA U1 U1 spliceosomal RNA
AUACUCACUUAGCAGGAGAGUUAUCACGGUCCCAAAGAUGGUUUUCCCAGGGUGAGACUUACCCCUUGCACUUUGGAUGUGCUGACUCCUGAGAUUUCUCCAAAUGUGGGAAACUGCACUAUACUACACAGUUUUUGGUAGUGGGAGACUGUGUUCACACUUCUCUCU